GACCCCAGNGUCRGGCGGGAUCACCCGCUGAGUUUAAGCAUAUCAUAAAGGGGAAGAAA
rnacentral:rRNA from 1 species